GGCUAGGCUUACUCCAACCCAAUGUGAACGUUACCAAACUGUUGCCUCGGCGGGGUCACGCCCCGGGUGCGUCGCAGCCCCGGAACCAGGCGCCCGCCGGAGGAACCAACCAAACUCUUUCUGUAGUCCCCUCGCGGACGUAUUUCUUACAGCUCUGAGCAAAAAUUCAAAAUGAAUCAAAACUUUCAACAACGGAUCUCUUGGUUCUGGCAUCGAUGAAGAACGCAGCGAAAUGCGAUAAGUAAUGUGAAUUGCAGAAUUCAGUGAAUCAUCGAAUCUUUGAACGCACAUUGCGCCCGCCUUAUUCUGGCGGGCAUGCCUGUCCGAGCGUCAUUUCAACCCUCGAACCCCUCCGGGGGAUCGGCGUUGGGGAUCGGGACCCCUCACACGGGUGCCGGCCCCUAAAUACAGUGGCGGUCUCGCCGCAGCCUCUCCUGCGCAGUAGUUUGCACAACUCGCACCGGGAGCGCGGCGCGCCCACGUCCGUAAAACACCCAACUUUCUGAAAUGUUGACCUCGGAUCAGGUAGGAAUACCCGCUGAACUUAAGCAUAUCAUAAUCCGGGAAGAA
rnacentral:rRNA from 1 species